GACGAACGCUGGCGGCGUGCUUAACACAUGCAAGUCGAACGGAAAGGCCCUGCUUUUGUGGGGUGCUCGAGUGGCGAACGGGUGAGUAACACGUGAGUAACCUGCCCUUGACUUUGGGAUAACUUCAGGAAACUGGGGCUAAUACCGGAUAGGAGCUCCUGCUGCAUGGUGGGGGUUGGAAAGUUUCGGCGGUUGGGGAUGGACUCGCGGCUUAUCAGCUUGUUGGUGGGGUAGUGGCUUAUCAAGGCUUUGACGGGUAGCCGGCCUGAGAGGGUGACCGGCCACAUUGGGACUGAGAUACGGCCCAGCCUCCUACGGGAGGCAGCAGUGGGGAAUAUUGCACAAUGGGCGGAAGCCUGAUGCAGCAACGCCGCGUGCGGGAUGACGGCCUUCGGGUUGUAAACCGCUUUCGCCUGUGACGAAGCGUGAGUGACGGUAAUGGGUAAAGAAGCACCGGCUAACUACGUG
rnacentral:rRNA from 1 species